rnacentral:rRNA from 1 species
GAUGAACGCUGGCGGCGUGCCUAAUACAUGCAAGUCGAGCGAACAGAUGAGGAGCUUGCUCCUCUGACGUUAGCGGCGGACGGGUGAGUAACACGUGGAUAACCUACCUAUAAGACUGGGAUAACUUCGGGAAACCGGAGCUAAUACCGGAUAAUAUAUUGAACCGCAUGGUUCAAUAGUGAAAGACGGUUUUGCUGUCACUUAUAGAUGGAUCCGCGCCGCAUUAGCUAGUUGGUAAGGUAACGGCUUACCAAGGCAACGAUGCGUAGCCGACCUGAGAGGGUGAUCGGCCACACUGGAACUGAGACACGGUCCAGACUCCUACGGGAGGCAGCAGUAGGGAAUAUUCCGCAAUGGGCGAAAGCCUGACGGAGCAACGCCGCGUGAGUGAUGAAGGUCUUCGGAUCGUAAAACUCUGUUAUUAGGGAAGAACAAAUGUGUAAGUAACUAUGCACGUCUUGACGGUACCUAAACAGAAAGCCACGGCUAACUACGUG